CAUUAACAACGCAGGAUGAAGAGGAGCCUGCCAGUCAGGCUGUGGCAGAGGACAGUGUCCCAUUUUAUGGAGGACAGACAACGGAGAUAUGGAGAGACUAAGACUUGAAUCGAAACAAGUGAACUUCAUCAUAGAUUGGGAGAAGGAAUGACUGACUUUCCACUUCCUCUUCAAAUCUGGGGGAAUGCUAAACACGACUCUCAUGUGGGAUGCAGAGUUAGUGAUGUCUGAGUUGGGAAAAAUGUACACCUUGAGCCAUCUGCUUGCCACCAGUCCUCAGAGCAUCUUUCCGACGCUGAGAAGCCAUGUUGGAACCUAAGAUUUUGCUCCACUGACUUAACCCCAAUGUUAAGAAGCUAACAAUUUUUACAAGGAAGCUUCUGGAAGGAAAGAGAACAGUUUCUCCAUCCAUGUCAAAACUCAAGCAAAUGUAUUCAUAGCUCUUUUAUGUGUCAUGAUUGUCCUUCAGAUAAAUGUAAUCCAAGAGAUAUCUCUAUUUGUAGAAACAAAAAGAAUAAAAUAAAAAAGACUUAUAUAAGGUGACUCAGACCCAAUAGGACAUGCAUGGUAUGUACUCACCUAUAUGUGGAUAUUAGCCAUAAUACACAGGAUAAUCAUGCUAUAAUCAACAAACUCAAAGAAGCUAAAUAACAAGAAGAGCCCAAGGGAGGAAUGACAGGAACCUAAUAUAUCUGUCCUCUGAGAGGUUCCAAGCAGCAGCCAAUGGAAAGAGAUGCAGACUCACACCCAAGCAUUAGAUGGAACUUGGGAACUCUUACAGAAGAGUUGGGAGAAGAACUUAGGGACCCAAAGAUGAUAGGGACUCCACAGGAAGACCAACAGAGUCAACUAAUCUGGACCCUUGGGGGCUCACAGAGACUGAAUCACCGACAUAAGAGCAAGCACCAGCUGAACCUAGGUCCCCUGCACACAUACAGCAGAAGAGCAGCUUGGUCUUCAAGUGGGCUCCCCAACAACUGGAACUAGG